rnacentral:rRNA from 1 species
GACGAGGGAUCCUAGCGUUGUUCGGAAUCAUUGGGCGUAAAGCGGGUGUAGGCGGACUUAUAAGUCAGGUGUGAAAUCCCAGGGCUCAACCCUGGAAGUGCACUUGAUACUGCAAGUCUUGAGUGUGGUAGAGGCUAUUAGAAUUCCUGGUGUAGUGGUGAAAUACGUAGAUAUCAGGAGGAAUACCGGAGGCGAAGGCGGAUAGCUGGGCCAACACUGACGCUGAGACCCGAAAGCGUGGGGAUCAAACAGG